GGCUAGUUUCAGCACCUGACACGGCAGAAUGUUCUACAGCUUUCCCUCCAGUGAGCUUACUCACUGAAUCCUCACCAGGAAAGAGAUUUUCUCCCCAUUUUACAGGUGGAGAAAGGGGCUUGGAGAGGACAAGCAACUUGCUAGAGCUUGGAGGACCUUGCAGGCUUCUGGGUCUCAGCCUGGGGUCCAGGAAGGCCCCUGCAGCUCCUUCUGGUUUUAUGGUGGCUUCAUGAGCCCCUCCACCCAAAGCACAUUCAGUGUGAUGUUAUUUCAGGAAAUGUGGAAGAGACGUCUGUGGUGAAAUGAGGCUGGAAACUACUGAGUUAAAAAAACGUAUCACAGUUUUUCACUGCAGGGCUUCUCAGGACCUUUACUAGACCAGUCUACACUGAGUCUCCAGUGGGUGAUAUGCUGUUGCCUACUCUUAUCCGACAUGUUUCAUGGAAUCCUGCUUGGGAGCCACUAACUUCUAGGAUAAAGUUCAACCUUGAAGGCAGGAUAUUCAGCAUACUUUGCAACCUGGGGCAGCUUCCUUCUGCAGCCUCAGCUGGAAAUUUCUGACGGGGAGCAUCUGGCAGGACUGAGUAGGAAGCAGGACUUUGCAAGGCAGGAAGUGACUGCAGAAACAAGAGGAGGCGUCAGGAAGUGAAACUUCCCCCUGGCCCCCUGCUCCCCACCUAGAACAAAGGCCUUGUCUGCCCUGCCCCCUUGCGUCUUGGGGUUCAUGGGCAGGGAUCUAACCUUACCAGUUGUAACCGAACAGGGAAGUGUUGGACUGAGGGAUGAUGCUGGGACCUCGCUGGCCUAUUCUGAGCACACAGCCCAUCGACGAUACGACCUUCUGCCAUCUUAAAGCCUCUGGAUCCCCGAAUGCCCCUGGCCUGGGGUUCUGGAUGAGGGUUUGUGCUCCCAGACAGGGGAGAGUCACCGUUUCUCUUGAAGAUUCUUUGUGCCCAUUCUCCUCUGCGGGGGCCCCAGGGUGGCUGGAGUUCAAGGAGAAAAGCCCCAGAGUUCUCAGCAGGACUCCACGGCCCCUCCCCAGUGUGCUGCCCAACGUGCCUUUGGCCCCUCUGCCCAGAGCGGUCCUCCUCAGGCCCAUGGUGCACCCACUCACUUCCUGCAAGGCAUCUGCUCAAAAAUUUUCUUCCCAUGAGAGCCCCUUCUCCCUCCCUACAUACAGCAUGGCCCCCAGUACUCCCAGGCCCCCAACCCACCCACUCAUGCCCUGGCACCCACACAAUCCCUGGCUAGCUAGACUCUGGUCUGUGUCCCCAUCACACCCUGACUCCUAUGCUGCGUCCACCAGGGCAGGGAUAUGAUGUUCCCUGCUGUGCGUGGUGCCUAGCACAUACUGGUGGGCAGUAACUACUUGCUGUCUGGAUGAAUGAAUGAACCAGAUUGAAUGAUCCCAGUUAUCCUUUGAGGUGGAGAUAUGGUUGUCUGCAUUUUAUAGAUAAGACUCAAGAGAUGUUCUUGUCACUUGUGAGCAGCCCAAAUCAAACCCCAAUCUGCAUUACUCCAAAGCCCCACAGGCCUUCACACACGUGUGUGCACACACGCACACAACACAGAUGCACACAUGCUUCCACAUGCACCCAUACCCGUGCGUGCGCACGCGCGCGCACACACACACACAGAGUAGAUGUUCUCUCCGUUGUGUCAGACAACAUUGAAGUCCCUCCCUGGUCACUGUGGGAACCCCCCCUGAACUGUUGGACUGACAGAGCAGCUGGAAGGGCCAGUGCUGGCCCCUUAGCCCCCAGACCCCUCCGUUCCCUAGGGAUGGGGGGCUCAGAGCCCUUGAGGGCCUGAUUCUCUGUGCCCAGAGCCAGCAGGGCUGUGCCGCCCUCAGCCUGGGACCACUGGCCAGGCAGCCUGCUUGCAGUGGAGCCCCUCUUCCAGCCUCUUGGGCCUGUCCUGCCCUUGCCCUGACCCUGCCGACCUGGAUGAGCCACUUUCCUUCCUGCUUGGCUGGUUCCUUCUACCAUUCAGGUCUCCGAAGGGACAUCCCCUCCCUAGAGAGGCCCUCCCUGCCUGGCCAGCCCCUUGGACUGGGAUGGCCCCUCAGUGGACUCGGUCACUGGGUCCCAGCUAUUGUUGUUUCCUUUGUCAUCUGGUCACAAUAUAUAGAAAUUUGUAAACAUCUCAGCGCCCCCUCCAUAAGUGGGGACUCCUGUCCUGGUCACUGCUGUAUCCCCGGGGCUCUGCACAGAGCUGGACACAGUAAGUGCCCCGUCCAUGUGUGUAGAUGAAUAAAGGAAUGAAUGACCGCUGUUAGAGGGCUGCAGGAAGGACCUUGGCUAGGCCAGCAUCUGGCAGGACUCUCCUCCACCAGGCCCCGCCUCAUCUGGUUUCUUGCUGAC